AGUGAACGCUGGCGGUAGGCCUAACACAUGCAAGUCGAACGGCAGCACAGUAAGAGCUUGCUCUUACGGGUGGCGAGUGGCGGACGGGUGAGGAAUACAUCGGAAUCUACUUUUUCGUGGGGGAUAACGUAGGGAAACUUACGCUAAUACCGCAUACGACCUACGGGUCAAAGCAGGGGAUCUUCGGACCUUGCGCGAUUGAAUGAGCCGAUGUCGGAUUAGCUAGUUGGCGGGGUAAAGGCCCACCAAGGCGACGAUCCGUAGCUGGUCUGAGAGGAUGAUCAGCCACACUGGAACUGAGACACGGUCCAGACUCCUACGGGAGGCAGCAGUGGGGAAUAUUGGACAAUGGGCGCAAGCCUGAUCCAGCCAUACCGCGUGGGUGAAGAAGGCCUUCGGGUUGUAAAGCCCUUUUGUUGGGAAAGAAAAGCAGCAGGUUAAUACCCCGCUGUUCUGACGGUACCCAAAGAACAAGCACCGGCUAACUUCGUG
rnacentral:rRNA from 1 species